rnacentral:rRNA from 1 species
UACGUAGGGUGCGAGCGUUAAUCGGAAUUACUGGGCGUAAAGCGCACGUAGGCGGCGAUUUAAGUCAGAGGUGAAAGCCCGGGGGCUCAACCCCGGACUAGCCUUUCGUAGACUGGAGUUGUCUAGAAUCUUGGAGGAGGCGAGUGGAAUUCCGAGUGUAGAGGUGAAAUUACGUAGAUAUUCGGAAGAACACCAGUGGCGAAGGCGGCUCGCUGGACAAGUAUUGACGCUGAGGUGCGAAAGCGUGGGGAGCAAACAGGAUUAGAUACCCCGGUAGU